AUACGAAGGUCCCAAGCGUUGUUCGGAUUUACUGGGCGUAAAGCGUGCGUAGGCGGCAAGGUAAGUCAGAUGUGAAAUCCCGGGGCUCAACCCCGGAACUGCAUCCGAUACUGCCUUGUUAGAGUAAUGGAGGGGCAUCUGGAAUUCAUGGUGUAGCAGUGAAAUGCGUAGAUAUCAUGAGGAACACUAGUGGCGAAGGCGAGAUGCUGGACAUUUACUGACGCUAAGGUACGAAGGCCAGGGUAGCGAAAAGGAUUAGAUACCCCAGUAGUCC
rnacentral:rRNA from 1 species